rnacentral:lncRNA from 1 species
AAUAAUUUGCCACCAUAACUAAGACUAACAAAAUUGAUAGUACAAGAUAAAAUUAUUACUUUCUAUUUACAGAAAAAUACUAUGUUUCGCUAUAAGAUAUUUCCUUUUAUCAUGAUGACAAAAAAAAACAUCUUGAUCUAGGCUAUUUGGACAAAAUAAUGACAAGGCUAUUUGGACAAAAUAAUGACAAUGAACUGAGAAAACUAAAUCACAUCAGUAAAUUUAAUUUUAAGCAAAAAAAGGUUAAUAUUAGCAUGACAAAAGGCUAGCUACCCACGCAAAUUGAGCGGGCCACC